rnacentral:tRNA from 1 species
GCCUGGGUGGCUCAGUUGGUUGAGCAUCUGACUUCAGCUCAGGUCAUGAUCUCACGGUUCGUGGGGUCGGGCCCCGUGUCAGGCU